rnacentral:rRNA from 1 species
AUACGAAGGGGGCUAGCGUUGUUCGGAAUUACUGGGCGUAAAGCGCGCGUAGGCGGACUGGAAAGUUGGGGGUGAAAUCCCGGGGCUCAACCGCGGAACUGCCUCCAAAACUUCCAAUCUAGAGAUCGAGAGAGGUGAGUGGAAUUCCAAGUGUAGAGGUGAAAUUCGUAGAUAUUUGGAGGAACACCAGUGGCGAAGGCGGCUCACUGGCUCGAUACUGACGCUGAGGUACGAAAGCGUGGGGAGCAAACAGGAUUAGAUACCCUAGUAGUCC